rnacentral:rRNA from 1 species
CAUUGCCAGUAUUAGAGGCACUGCCUGCCCAGUGACAUUAGUUAAACGGCCGCGGUAUCCUGACCGUGCAAAGGUAGCAUAAUCAUUUGUUCCUUAAUUAGGGACUUGUAUGAACGGCCCCACGAGGGUUUAACUGUCUCUUACUUUUAAUCAGUGAAAUUGACCUUCCCGUGAAGAGGCGGGAAUACAAAAAUAAGACGAGAAGACCCUAUGGAGCUUAAAUUAAUAUGUUCAACAGAAUUUAAUUAUAACCCAAUAGGAAUAAAAACAUUCUAACUGAACAAUAAAUUUUGGUUGGGGUGACCUCGGAGUAUAACAUAACCUCCGAGCAAUUAAACCAAGACUUACCAGUCAAGGCCAUAUAACUUAUUGAUCCAAUCUUAUUGAUCAACGAAACAAGUUACCCUAGGGAUAACAGCGCAAUCCUAUUUAAGAGUUCAUAUCGACAAUAGGGUUUACGACCUCGAUGUUGGAUCAGGACACCCAAAUGGUGCAGCAGCUAUUAAAGGUUCGUUUGUUCAACG